rnacentral:rRNA from 1 species
CCUACGGGUGGCUGCAGUGGGGAAUAUUGCACAAUGGGCGCAAGCCUGAUGCAGCCAUGCCGCGUGUGUGAAGAAGGCCUUCGGGUUGUAAAGCACUUUCAGCGGGGAGGAAGGCGGUGAGGUUAAUAACCUCAUCGAUUGACGUUACCCGCAGAAGAAGCACCGGCUAACUCCGUGCCAGCAGCCGCGGUAAUACGGAGGGUGCAAGCGUUAAUCGGAAUUACUGGGCGUAAAGCGCACGCAGGCGGACUGUCAAGUCGGAUGUGAAAUCCCCGGGCUCAACCUGGGAACUGCAUUCGAAACUGGCAGGCUAGAGUCUUGUAGAGGGGGGUAGAAUUCCAGGGGUAGCGGUGAAAUGCGUAGAGAUCUGGAGGAAUACCGGUGGCGAAGGCGGCCCCCUGGACAAAGACUGACGCUCAGGUGCGAAAGCGUGGGGAGCAAACAGGAUUAGAUACCCGGGUAGUC